ensembl:lncRNA
GUCGACAGCUGUAGUUUCAACCACACUGUUUUUUGGGAGCUGGUCUGGCCAGGCAGAUUUGACUGGAGCCAGAGUGUAGAUACAAGGCUGAGCUCAGAUAAACAGCUUCUUGUUUGAGCUGCCGCUGCACUGAGCUGCUCUGUGCUGAGCUGAGCAGGCUGAUAAGAAAGGCAGUGGCGGCGUCGGGGCCGUGGCAGCCAAGAGAAUGGACCAGGGCCUGGGGAAGUAGACACUCUGACUGCACCCUGCCCUCCCCUGACCGCUUCUCCUCCCAGCCCUAAUCUCUCUUCUUUUCUUCUCUCCCUCGCUCUUUUCACAGCAAAGGGCAGAGCUGCCUAAUUGCCUGGUGAGAGUGAAAUGUAUCAGUGGACCGCAUCAGCAUGGGGAGCAGGAGAAGAGAUGCAGACACGGCCGGCGGGUCAGACCCAGGAAGAGACGUGACCUCGAUGACUAUCCAUAUUUAAAGUCAGCGCCUGAGGACUGAUGGCGGUUUCCUUUGUGCUCCUGCUUAUUUUUGCUGACCUGGAAGAGGCAGACGGACACUGAACAGAGCCUGGGUAGGGGGUGGAGGAAACAGGGGGCUCUCCUGAAAUAUGGUCCUCUGCAUUCGGGAGGGUGAGGUGGAAUAACAGCAUCAUAUAGCUCUCAGGUGUCAUGCUGUCUGGCAGGGGGUUGGGAAUUGGGGAGGAGGCAGAAAGUGGGCUUAGAUGAAAUGAAAGCACUAUAUGGAGAAAAAGUGAUUAAAG